CAGCCGCCGCGGUAAUACGGAGGGUGCGAGCGUUAAUCGGAAUUACAGGGCGUAAAGCGUACGCAGGCGGUUUGUUAAGUCAGAUGUGAAAUCCCCGAGCUUAACUCGGGAACUGCAUUUGAAACUGGCAGGCUAGAGUCUCGUAGAGGGGGGUAGAAUUCCAGGUGUAGCGGUGAAAUGCGUAGAGAUCUGGAGGAAUACCGGUGGCGAAGGCGGCCCCCUGGACAAAGACUGACGCUCAGGUGCGAAAGCGUGGGGAGCAAACAGGAUUAGAUACCCGCGUAGUCCCUGUCUCUUAUAC
rnacentral:rRNA from 1 species